GGUUGUUAAACGGAGCGCACGAGUAGGUUGUGUGGAUGGACACUUUCCGAGUUUGGUAAACUAGGACCAGACUAGGGAGUCUGACCCUUGGAAUGAUCUGCCUCCCUCCGACUGUCGCCUGGGCGCUCCUUGCAAUCCUGUUUGUUCUCACCCUGGAUCAAGGCCAGAAACUGGGACAGGCGUGCCGGAAGCUUGAUAGGGAAGAAGCUGAGGAGAGUGGGAUUUCAGACCUGGUUCCGAGGAGGGCAGCCCCCGCCGGACCCCACGGAGGAUGCUGAAGUCAGCUUCAACUUUACUCUGUAUCAGGAACCCAUAGAUGGAGCCACACCUUGAAGCCAGUCAUCAGAUGAAAUUACUCCACCUGCAAAAUUUUGGAUUGUGAGUUUCUCUCUCUACCCACAGCCUCCUACCCUUCUACCUCUCUCACUCACUCCUACUGAGUCUGUAGUUUGUCCUCAGUGUGUCCUCCAGUCUUUGUUCUCGUAGUUUAUCCAUUAUUUCCCACCUCCUCUUAUCUUCCUAAACUCUGAGAACCCUUUUAUCAACCAUUUUAGCUGUACUCUCACUCCUGUCUUCAAUUCCCUCAUCCUUCAGCCAUAUUUACCUUGUCAAUACUAUUUCCCAUUUCCCUUUUCUUUGAACUAGCAGCCCUGUCCUGACCAUUUACUCGUAGUGUAGAACCUUGUUUUAUUAUUCCCUGGAAAAACAAUUUGUGAGUAUCCAUUUCUUCUGGUACUGCCUGAGAAGAAGAACCAUCUUUUUUUUUUUUUUAAUUCAUUUUUUUUCUUUUUUUCCUUGUAUUUUCCUCUCUUCUUCCCUCCCUCCUGCCUGCCUGCCU